rnacentral:rRNA from 1 species
UACGGAGGGUGCGAGCGUUGUCCGGAAUCAUUGGGCGUAAAGGGUGUGUAGGUGGCGCCGUAAGUCGGGUGUGAAAUCUCGGGGCUUAACUCCGAAACUGCAUUCGAUACUGCGGUGCUUGAGGACUGGAGAGGAGACUGGAAUUCAUGGUGUAGCAGUGAAAUGCGUAGAGAUCAUGAGGAAGACCAGUGGCGAAGGCGGGUCUCUGGACAGUUCCUGACACUGAGACACGAAGGCCAGGGGAGCAAACGGG